rnacentral:tRNA from 1 species
GCGGGCGUGGCGAAACCGGAAUACGCGCCGGCUUUAGGUGCCGGUGCUCGAAAGAGCGUGAGGGUUCGAGUCCCUCCGCCCGCA